rnacentral:rRNA from 1 species
UACGUAGGGUGCAAGCGUUGUCCGGAAUUAUUUGGGCGUAAAGAGCUCGUAGGCGGUCUGUCGCGUCUGCUGUGAAAACUCAGGGCUUAACCCUGAGCUUGCAGUGGGUACGGGCAGACUAGAGUGCGGUAGGGGGAGACUGGAAUUCCUGGUGUAGCGGUGAAAUGCGCAGAUAUCAGGAGGGAACACCGGUGGGCGAAAGGCG